ACAACGGUGGAGCCUGCGGUUAAUUGGACUCAACGCCGGGCAGCUCACCGGAUAAGACAGCUGGAUGAUAGCCGGGCUGAAGACUCUGCUUGACUAGCUGAGAGGAGGUGCAUGGCCGUCGUCAGUUCGUACUGUGAAGCAUCCUGUUAAGUCAGGCAACGAGCGAGACCCACGCCAACAGUUGCCAGCAUGUCCUCCGGGAUGAUGGGGACACUGUUGGGACCGCCUCUGCUAAAGAGGAGGAAGGAAUGGGCAACGGUAGGUCAGCAUGCCCCGAAUUAUCCGGGCUACACGCGGGCUACAAUGGUCAGGACAAUGGGUAUCGACACCGAGAGGUGGAGGCAAUCUCCUAAACCUGUCCUUAGUUCGGAUUGUGGGCUGCAACUCGCCCACAUGAAGCUGGAAUCCGUAGUAAUCGCGUUUCAAAAUAGCGCGGUGAAUAUGUCCCUGCUCCUU
rnacentral:rRNA from 1 species